GAGCAAUGGUGUUAUUUGAUGGUAAUCCAUUAAAAUACAUAUUUCACUGACUUUUAAUCAGUGGGUCACAGGUUCAAAUCCUGUACGGCUCACCA
rnacentral:tRNA from 1 species